UUUUUUUGAAAAGGAAUCUUAAGCUCAGCCCUCUUAUUUUUAAGUCUGGCCCAAUUGAGGUUCCCUUCGUAAGACGGCUACCUCAAAAGCUUACUUCUAGUUUCCUCCACUUAUUUUGUUUCCGAUAAACCUUCAUCAUCGUCGUCGUCGUCGUCGCCGCCCGCUGCUGGCUGCUUCUACAUUUUCAUCAACAUCAUCUGCUGAUGGUCCUCAUCAGCUCAUGAAAUCCAAGUGGACUUCCCUUACAAUCUACUCUUUCAGUUUCACAGAAGAUCCAGGUUAGAUUUUAAGGCAAACAAAUUGACAGAGCAGAUUGUAAGGGAAGCCCACAUGGAUUUCAACCCAAUUUUGUUUGCUCCUCAUCGCGAGCGCGAAUGGCUUUGUGGCUAUCAAGCGUUUUUCAUGGUUAUUAUUGCAUGGAUUUUACUCGGUCAAUGGUGUUAAGGAUCCGGGCGUUCACCCAAAGCUCUUGUCUUCAUAAAUGCUAGACUUGUUGGUUUAAAUUGGUGGAGAGGAGAUUAUGGGAGCUUUUAAGCAAUAUCCACUUGUAUUGGUAUGCUUUGAGAAGACCAUAAUUGUCAAUCCCAAGUUUCUUAUGUAUUCAACUGCUAAAAGGCUUUGCCCUAAGUAUGAUGUUUUGGCUUCCAAGAAGCUGAUUGAGGAGGCCAGGAGAAUUGGGUGGUUGCUAACAAUCAGCAAGAAGAAAUUGUUGGUGAAUUAUGUGAAUAAAUACGCAGCGAAAGUACCGGGUUUAUUGCAGAUAUAUAUGGGGCGCUAGUAAAGCAAAAAAGAUAGACACUUGAUGGCCAAGAUGCAAGUUUUACUUCUGCAAUGCACAGCUUGUCGUGGUCUGAUUUCCUCUACAAUAGGUUCUUUGUAUGUUCAUUCCAAUUUAUGCUUCUAAAUUUCUGCAUGCUCUGAUCCUCAAAUUUUUUCUACGUGAGAGAAAAAUGCGUAUAUUUGUAGAUUUCAAUGACUGUUGCAUAUCUAAUGUCAGAAGAACUAAGGUCUCAAGCCACCAUGCAAAGUUCAUGAUGGAUACUUUGUUAUAAAUUACUAUGACUAUCUUUAUUUCA